CCCUUAGAUGUUCUGGGCCGCACGCGCGCUACACUGAUGCAUUCAACGAGCCUAUCCUUGACCGACAGGUCCGGGUAAUCUUUGAAUCUGCAUCGUGACGGGGAUAGAUUAUUGCAAUUAUUAAUCUUCAACGAGGAAUGCCUAGUAGGCGCAAGUCAUCAGCUUGCGUCGAUUACGUCCCUGCCCUUUGUACACACCGCCCGUCGCUACUACCGAUUGGAUGGCUUAGUGAGACCCUCGGACCGAUAGGCUGUCGCUGCAGCAAUGUGGCGACUGGCCCGUCUGGGAAGAAGGUCAAACUUGACUGUCUAGAGGAAGUAAAAGUCGUAACA
rnacentral:rRNA from 1 species